rnacentral:ncRNA from 1 species
UAAGAGACGAUGAAGAAAAGAAGUAAUUAAAUGAAUUUUAAAGAGAGCUGAUGGGUGGUGUAAAUCAGUAAAGGAUUUUAAUGAAAUACAUUUUAGAGUCUUAGGUCGAAGUAGUAGUAGGCUGUUACGGUUUCCUAACGUUAUUAAGGAAGAGAAUAAUUUAAAUGCUUUUAAAGAUUUUAAAUUAUAAAUUUGGGUGGUACCACGGAAAUUUUCGUCCCUAGU